GGGGCGGGUGCGGUCGGUUGUGUGUGAGGGCUGAGGGCGCGGCCCCGCUGCUGCCCGGGCUGCGGAGGGGAGAGCGCCUUGGCCGCUGGCCUGGCUCGUGGUUUCCCCUGGUGCUGGGGAGUGGAGGCGAGUUGUGCUUCCUGCUGGGAGAGAGAAGGGCCUUGGGAAGCUGCUCCAUGAGCCACAGCUGUGCCGAGCCCGGGAGUCUGUCCAGCAGGAUGUCGAGUGCCACCGUGUCCCUGAGGUUCCCCUUUCUGCUGUUGGGAGAGCACGAGGUGGAUGGAGAGGAUCCCCAGCCAUCUGCAGGCAAAAGGGACUCGCACAA